ACGGAGGGUGCGAGCGUUGUCCGGAAUCAUUGGGCGUAAAGGGCGCGUAGGUGGCUUCUCAAGCGUGCGGUGAAAGCCUGGGGCUCAACCCCGGGUCGGCCGUGCGAACUGGGGGGCUGGAGCACUGUAGAGGCAGGCGGAAUUCCGGGUGUAGCGGUGGAAUGCGUAGAGAUCCGGAGGAACACCGGUGGCGAAGGCGGUUCUCUGGGCAUUACCUGACGCUGAGGAGCGAAAGUGUGGGGAGCGAACAGGA
rnacentral:rRNA from 1 species